rnacentral:lncRNA from 1 species
ACAAGGGGUAAUCAUGGUGUUUUUCUAAGAUAACGGCGGGUAACUCCAACCUGAGAGUGUGGGCCAAACUCACUUUUAACUAAGGUGGGGUUAGCGAACUAUUUUUACCAGAUCGGAGUUCGGAUGUCAACAGUUACCUACGACAAGGCUGACCUCAAUGAUGCUUUCUCCAAGUAGUACAUUGCUGACCUCAAUGAUGCUUUCUCCAAGUAGUACAUUGCUGACCUCAAUGAUGCUUUCUCCAAGUAGUACAUUUAUGG